rnacentral:rRNA from 1 species
UACGUAGGGUGCGAGCGUUGUCCGGAAUUACUGGGCGUAAAGAGCUCGUAGGUGGUUUGUCGCGUUGUUCGUGAAAACCGGGGGCUUAACUCUCGGCGUGCGGGCGAUACGGGCAGACUGGAGUACUGCAGGGGAGACUGGAAUUCCUGGUGUAGCGGUGGAAUGCGCAGAUAUCAGGAGGAACACCGGUGGCGAAGGCGGGUCUCUGGACAGUAACUGACGCUGAGGAGCGAAAGCGUGGGGAGCGAACAGG